UCACAUCAAGGAAACGCGUUUAUUUCAAUAUCAAGUACAAAAUCUUGUGCAUUGUUAUUAGUAGACAUUGGUCCCUACAUUAAUUUAGACUUGAUCAAAAAAAACAGGCGCCAUCUCAAGGGCAGAGACAGACCGAUGAUCACACUCCUCACUGACAGCAGCUGGUGUCACAUGUCUUCCCUUUGCACACGCAGCCAGAGGCGCACUUGCUGCAGCCGGAUGGGCAGCAUGGGCAGCAGCCUGCAAGAGGAGAAACAGUCCAUUAGUGACUGGAGGACAGUCAAGCAUCAGUGCUGAAGACAGGUUCAUAUCCUACUAACAGUCGAGGUGGUGGAUUUCAGAGACAAAGCUGCAUAGUUAAUGUAUGAAAUAGUUAACUGCGGAGGAGAUAAAGACUUCUCCUCCUCCUUGAACACGUUGCAGACAAUUAGGCCAAUUAGAGUCACCUGUGCAGCCACGAGCCAUGGACUAUAAUUACAAAAAAUAGUUUAAAUAAGCACUAUGAAUUCAAGAUUGGUACAGAAUUUCAAAAAGGACAUCACUAGGGGUAACUUAAUAUAAAUAAUUGAGAAUUUUAAGCAGAGAGGUAAAGCAAAAAAAAGGUUCUGAAUCCUCGAUACACUUUGUCUUAAGCUUAUUUUUGCUUCAGUGAGCAGUGAACGCCUUCCUCAAGCUUGUCAUCUCUAAAAAGGUUGUUAGCAGACUUACUUUUCUUGCAUUUAGUGCAGGAACAGUUUGUGCAGGUGCAGGAUCCUCCGCAGUUGCAGGUUCCAGCUAAAAUAUAAAAAUCAGAUCAGUCUCUGCUAAAAAAAAUACACCGUUUAACAAAAUACAAGGUCAAAAUUCUCAGAUACAGAGAUUCAAACAGAUCACUUACUCUUGGCGCAUUCGCAAGGGUCCAUCUUUCCAGUGGAUGUUGGAGUUUCUUCGAGUGAAGUUGUCGUUCGAUUAAGUUCAGAGCUGCGAGUGUUGUU